rnacentral:rRNA from 1 species
CAGCAGCCACGGUAAUACAGAGGAUGCAAGCGUUAUCCGGAAUGAUUGGGCGUAAAGCGUCUGUAGGUGGCUUUUCAAGUCCGCCGUCAAAUCCCAGGGCUCGACCCUGGACAGGCGGUGGAAACUACCAAGCUAGAGUACGGUAGGGGCAGAGGGAAUUUCCGGUGGAGCGGUGAAAUGCGUUGAGAUCGAAAAGAACACCAACGACGAAAGCACUCUGCUGGGUCGACACUGACACUGAGAGACGAAAGCUAGGGGAGCAAAUGGGAUUAGAUACCCGUGUAGUCCCUGUCUCUUAUAC